rnacentral:rRNA from 1 species
GAUGAACGCUAGCUACAGGCUUAACACAUGCAAGUCGCGGGGCAGCAUGGGGGUUGCUUGCAAUCCCCGAUGGCGACCGGCGCACGGGUGAGUAACGCGUAUUCAACCUGCCCUUCACCACGGGAUAACCCGGCGAAAGUCGGACUAAUACCGUAUGUUGUCCAUUGACGGCAUCCGAUUUGGACGAAAGGCUUGGCGGUGAGGGAUGGGGAUGCGUCCGAUUAGCCAGACGGCGGGGUAACGGCCCACCGUGGCUACGAUCGGUAGGGGUUCUGAGAGGAAGGUCCCCCACACUGGAACUGAGACACGGUCCAGACUCCUACGGGAGGCAGCAGUGAGGAAUAUUGGUCAAUGGGCGUAAGCCUGAACCAGCCAAGUAGCGUGCAGGAUGACGGCCCUAUGGGUUGUAAACUGCUUUUAUGCGGGGAUAAAGUGGCCCACGUGUGGGCUUUUGCAGGUACUGCAUGAAUAAGGACCGGCUAAUUCCGUG